UGUCUCUUUAUUUCUUACUUGGAGUUACCCCCCACCUUUUCAGUGUAUCUAAUCUGGCUCUACUUGUUCGCUUCUUUUUCUUAAUUUUCACAUCAGGUUUCAAUACCUAAUAGAGUCCAGACAAUUAACAUUAUGUCAAUGUUUCUGACACAAAAAGGUAAGGAUAGUAUUAGACUAGUGACAGUUGCAGAAGAGGAAUCAGUCAGGAGCUAUUAACAGUUUAAUUGAUACGCUUUUAUAAAGAAGUGGGUUUUUAACGCUUUUUUGAAGGAGUGGAGACUGGGUGAGUAUCUAACGGAGGAGGGAAGUGAGUUCCACAGGAACGGUGCAGCCCUCGAGAAAUCUUAAAGGCGAGCAUCAGAGGUGGGAGUACGGACUGAAGAUAGACGUAAGUCUUCAGAAGAUCGUAAGGGCCUAGACGGGACAUACUUGUGUAUAAGGGAGGAUAGAUAGGUGGGAGCAGCAUU